rnacentral:rRNA from 1 species
CCUACGGGGGGCAGCAGUGAGGAAUAGUGGUCAAUGGGCGUAAGCCUGAACCAGCCAAGUCGCGUGAGGGAUGAAGGUUCGAUGGAUCGUAAACCUCUUUUAUAAGGGAAUAAAGUGCGGGACGUGUCCCGUUUUGUAUGUACCUUAUGAAUAAGGAUCGGCUAACUCCGUGCCAGCAGCCGCGGUAAUACGGAGGAUCCGAGCGUUAUCCGGAUUUAUUGGGUUUAAAGGGUGCGUUGGCGGCCUUUUAAGUCAGCGGUGAAAGUCUGUGGCUCAACCAUAGAAUUGCCGUUGAUACUGGGAGGCUUGCUUAUGUUUGCGGCAGUCGGACUGCGUUGUGUAGCUGU